UUCCUGCAAAUCUGGUAAUGAAUGCAAACAAGAUGAAUGCUGUGUUACUCCUGUUGGUUUAGGAAUUAUAAAAGGUUGUUUGCCACGGCCCAAAGAAAAUAAUUUAUGCGGUCUGUCAACCAUAUUUAAUAAGGAGAAACAGAUUUACGCAUAUGCUUGUCCAUGUGUGGAAGGAACGACUUGUAAACUCGGUAAUAAGUUAAGUGAUAUUGUUCUCAAGUGCAGAAAAGAAGAGAAAAUAACAG